rnacentral:rRNA from 1 species
UGGGGAAUUUUGGACAAUGGGCGCAAGCCUGAUCCAGCCAUGCCGCGUGCGGGAAGAAGGCCUUCGGGUUGUAAACCGCUUUUGUCAGGGAAGAAACGGCUUUCUCUAAUACAGAGGGCUAAUGACGGUACCUGAAGAAUAAGCACCGGCUAACUACGUGCCAGCAGCCGCGGUAAUACGUAGGGUGCAAGCGUUAAUCGGAAUUACUGGGCGUAAAGCGUGCGCAGGCGGUUAUGCAAGACAGAGGUGAAAUCCCCGGGCUCAACCUGGGAACUGCCUUUGUGACUGCAUAGCUAGAGUGCGGCAGAGGGGGAUGGAAUUCCGCGUGUAGCAGUGAAAUGCGUAGAUAUGCGGAGGAACACCGAUGGCGAAGGCAAUCCCCUGGGCCUGCACUGACGCUCAUGCACGAAAGCGUGGGGAGCAAACAG